AGAGUUUGAUCAUGGCUCAGAUUGAACGCUGGCGGCAGGCCUAACACAUGCAAGUCGAACGGUAACAGGAAGAAGCUUGCUUCUUUGCUGACGAGUGGCGGACGGGUGAGUAAUGUCUGGGAAACUGCCUGAUGGAGGGGGAUAACUACUGGAAACGGUAGCUAAUACCGCAUAACGUCGCAAGACCAAAGAGGGGGACCUUCGGGCCUCUUGCCAUCGGAUGUGCCCAGAUGGGAUUAGCUUGUUGGUGGGGUAACGGCUCACCAAGGCGACGAUCCCUAGCUGGUCUGAGAGGAUGACCAGCCACACUGGAACUGAGACACGGUCCAGACUCCUACGGGAGGCAGCAGUGGGGAAUAUUGCACAAUGGGCGCAAGCCUGAUGCAGCCAUGCCGCGUGUAUGAAGAAGGCCUUCGGGUUGUAAAGUACUUUCAGCGGGGAGGAAGGGAGUAAAGUUAAUACCUUUGCUCAUUGACGUUACCCGCAGAAGAAGCACCGGCUAACUCCGUGCCAGCAGCCGCGGUAAUACGGAGGGUGCAAGCGUUAAUCGGAAUUACUGGGCGUAAAGCGCACGCAGGCGGUUUGUUAAGUCAGAUGUGAAAUCCCCGGGCUCAACCUGGGAACUGCAUCUGAUACUGGCAAGCUUGAGUCUCGU
rnacentral:rRNA from 1 species